rnacentral:rRNA from 1 species
GAUGAACGCUGGCGGCGUGCCUAAUACAUGCAAGUCGAGCGAACAGACGAGGAGCUUGCUCCUCUGACGUUAGCGGCGGACGGGUGAGUAACACGUGGAUAACCUACCUAUAAGACUGGGAUAACUUCGGGAAACCGGAGCUAAUACCGGAUAAUAUAUUGAACCGCAUGGUUCAAUAGUGAAAGACGGUUUUGCUGUCACUUAUAGAUGGAUCCGCGCCGCAUUAGCUAGUUGGUAAGGUAACGGCUUACCAAGGCAACGAUGCGUAGCCGACCUGAGAGGGGGAUCCGCCCCACUGGAACUGAGACACGGUCCAGACUCCUACGGGAGGCCGCAGUAGGGAAUAUUUCGCAAUGGGCGAAAGCCUGAUCGAGCCAUCCCGCGUGGGUGAAGAAGGUCUUCGGGUUGUAAAACCCUUUUAUUGGGGAAGAAAAAAAGCGGUAUGAAACCCGGCUGGUCUGACGGUACCCAAAGAAUAAGCCCCGGCUAACUUCGUG